UUGCCCCGAGCUCUUCCAGGGUUAGCCGCCGUGCCGCGGACGCCGCCAUGCUCCAUGAGCGCCACCGCCUUGCGCCCCGGCGCGGCCAUCCUUCGCGCGCUCUCCGCUGCCUCCGUCGCCCACCUCCACGCGCACGCCCUGAAGCUCGGCGUACUACCCUCCUGCCUCCACCUCUGCUCGGCCCUGCUCAAGUCCUAUGCAGCCUCCGGCAGCGUCGCCGCCGCCCGCCAGCUGUUCGACGAAAUCUCGCGCCGGGACGUCCCGCUAUGGAACGCCCUGUUGUCCGCCUACGCGCGCUCUGGACACCCCGUCCACGCCCUGUCUGCUGCGUCCGCCAUGGCGCGCGACGCGGGGGCCCGGCCAAACGGGGUCUCCGUCACGAGCCUCCUGUCCGCGUGCGCGCAGCUGCAGAGCUCGGUGCACGGGAGGGAGAUCCACGGGUACGCGGUGAGGAACGUCGUCGAUCUUGACCUACCUGUGCUCAAUGCGUUGGUGAACAUGUACGGCAAGUGCGGUUUGCUGGCGAACGCGAGGACAGUGUUCGCAGGCAUUGCGGUUGGCAUGAGGAGUGCUGUUUCAUGGACAUCCAUGAUCAAUGCUUGCGCCGAGAAUGAGCGCCCAACUGAGGCACUGGAAAUGUUCGUGGAGAUGAGGAUUGCUGGUGUCAAGGUCGAUGAGGUCACCCUGCUUGCUGUCAUCUCGGCCUGCACAAAGCUGGAUUGCACGUCGAGUUUGGGGGACUGGGUGGAACAGUGUGCACUUGAGAAUGGGUUCUUGAAGAACACACGUGUUGCCAAUGCAUUCAUACAUAUGCAUGGCAAGAUGGGGAGGGUUAGGAGAUCAUGUGACAUAUUUGACUCCAUGAGAUUGAGGACAGUGGUUUCGUGGACGGCCAUAAUACAAGCACUUGCCAUGAAUGGGCAUGGAGUGGCUGCCCUUGUUCGGUUUGCGCAGAUGCUCCGAGAAGGGUUCCAGCCUGGUGAGGUUAUCUUCUUGAGCAUAAUCAAUGCAUGUGGUCACUCCAGCCUAGUGAACGAGGGGCGCCAACUGUUCAAGUCCAUGGUCGAGGAGUACAGAAUCACACCAUGGAUGGAGCACUAUGGGAGCAUGGUGGACAUGCUCUGCAAAGCUGGAGCAUUGUACGAGGCAUUUGAGUUCACCCUGGCCAUGCCCAUUAAGCCCGAUCCUGUAAUAUGGCGUGUUUUGGCCGGCGCUUGUCGGGACCAUGGGAAUGCCAGCUUAGCGAGGAAGGUGAUGGAUCAUGUGAUUGGCAUGGAGCCCGACCACAAGGGGAAUUACAUACUGGCUUCAAACUUGUAUGCUGCACAUGAGGAUUGGAUACGUGUGGUAGAUGUAAGGUUGGACAUGGGAGUGAGGAAAGGGACCUCAAGAGGUGUUAUUGCAGCGUCUUAUCUCUUAUGUUGAAGUCAAUGGUGACUAAAAUGCAGAAAACUUGUCUUCUAGUACACAUCACCGGCAGGUAUUGGUUGUUCCAAGCCCAGCUCUGGUAACCCCCAAAGUCAAAAGGUUUGGCGUCCAAACGUAUACAGGAGCUAAACAUUGAAAACUACGGCCAUCAACUUCGCAUCAGGAUUCUUGGAGGUUUUGGCGUUGGACCCAGUGAGAAAAUCUCACCCGAGUGCUCGACAGAUGGUGCAUGCGCCGUUGCCGACUAUGAUGAUUCACGGCAGCGUAAAAUAAAAGUUAAAAAAAAAGAAGUGAUGGAGCCUGGAAACUGAAAAGUGAUGCAGCACUGUCCAAAUGGCUUGGUGACCACUAGUUUUCAAGUGUUGAUAAGGCUGACAGUGUUGCCCUAAUAAAAGAAGAUUUGAUUACCCACUAACACACAAGUUUUGGUUUGGUGGUUUGAAGGAUUCAAAGGUUCGUUGGCCAAAUCAAGAGUUUCGCCGGAGGCG